CUCCUCCAAACACAAUCCAAAAACAAUGUUUCCGUCUAUAAGCCGUUUACCAGGCUGUUGGCAGGGGUUAUAAACGCGGAAAUGCCAAGACACACUAUUUCAGUUCCUCGAAAUUGAACGUCUGUUUUAAUUUCAAAAGAAAGAAUGUGAGAUUGUUUCAAUUAAAGUCGUACCUACCAGCUUUUUAUUUGUGUAAAUUUCGUCAGUAAGAAUGGCCACUUCGAAUCUUUUCAAAUACGCUUGCGCUCG